rnacentral:tRNA from 1 species
AGGGGCGUAGUUAAACGGUUUAACGCCGGUCUCCAAAACCGCUGAAGAGGGUUCGACUCCUUCCGCCCCUG